CCUACGGGUGGCAGCAGUGGGGAAUAUUGGGCAAUGGAGGCAACUCUGACCCAGCAACGCCGCGUGAAUGAUGAAGGUCUUCGGAUUGUAAAGUUCUUUUCUAAGGGAAGAAGAAAGUGACGGUACCGUAGGAAUAAGCCUCGGCUAACUACGGGCCAGCAGCCGCGGUAAUACGUAGGAGGCAAGCGUUAUCCGGAAUGACUGGGCGUAAAGGGUGCGUAGGGGGUUUGACAAGUUAGUAGCGCAACUCCGGAGCUCAACUUCGUAACUACUACUAAAACUGUUGGACUUGAGUGCAGGAGUGGCAAUCGGAAUUCCUAGUGUCGCCGUGUAAUGCGUAGUUAUUAGGAGGAACACCAGUGGCGAAGGCGGAUUGCUAGACUGUAACUGACACUGAGGCACUACAGCGUGUGGAGCAAACAGGAUUAGAUACCCGGGUAGUC
rnacentral:rRNA from 1 species